UUAUGCUUGCGCACAUGAACCGCUUCCAGUCCGCUCUCCGACGUCGCCGCUCGCCGCUCCGCACGGAUGCCGCCGGCUCGUCACGGACUCGCGCGUAACCGCUUCCCCGUUACGCAAAAGCUGUUCGAACCAUCAAGCCACGGCGCCCCGUGGCUUUUUU
rnacentral:ncRNA from 1 species